UGGGGAAUAUUGGACAAUGGGGGCAACCCUGAUCCAGCAAUGCCGCGUGUGUGAUGAAGGCCCUAGGGUUGUAAAGCACUUUCACUGGUGAAGAUGAUGACGGUAGCCAGAGAAGAAGCCCCGGCUAACUUCGUGCCAGCAGCCGCGGUAAUACGAAGGGACCUAGCGUAGUUCGGAAUUACUGGGCUUAAAGAGUUCGUAGGUGGUUGAAAAAGUUGGUGGUGAAAUCCCAGAGCUUAACUCUGGAACUGCCAUCAAAACUUUUCAGCUAGAGUAUGAUAGAGGAAAGCAGAAUUUCUAGUGUAGAGGUGAAAUUCGUAGAUAUUAGAAAGAAUACCAAUUGCGAAGGCAGCUUUCUGGAUCAUUACUGACACUGAGGAACGAAAGCAUGGGUAGCGAAGAGG
rnacentral:rRNA from 1 species